CUCUCUCUCCUGCGAACCAGAAAAUCCCUCCCCCUCCCUUGCGACGACAGCGACUUCUCGUCGUCGCCACCGCCACCACACGCCGCCACUUGGGGCGGCACCGGUUCCGUUGGAACCACCACACUUCCUUCUUUCCGUUCCAACCCACCGCCACCUCGAUCUGCCGUUGCCGUCGCCGGAAACAGCCACGAAACGUAGCGGUUUUGACAGAUUUUUACCCAACUUUCGGCCUCUCGUUCUCUCUCAUUUCUCCAUCAAAUUUGACGAGUAAGGUACUCCGACCACGCAUACGCAGCAGGCGGGACCCUCUCAGGGUCAAGCAGCGUGGGACUACUUCCAGUAGUUGACUGAGCUCCGCAGCAGAGCCGGAUCGUGAGCUUCCGAGCCUUGAGUCAUCGUAGGACUCUUUCUUCCUGUUAUUUCCUUUGUACUCUGUUUUGUUGAAAUUGAAGUCCUUAGACAUGCUCUAUUAUCGCCCUGUUAGGGUUUGAAUUGUGAGGCCGGAGGCCAUUUUGUUAUAAACUGUUUAUUCGCU